rnacentral:piRNA from 1 species
UGGGUUGAUGGUACUGGAGAAGGA